rfam:Pichia farinosa complete mitochondrial genome, strain CBS7064
GGAUGUAUGGCUGAGAGGUUUAAAGCAUAAUAUUUGAGCUAUUAAGACACAAAAUGUCCACGUGUUCGAAUCACGUUGCAUCCG